rnacentral:rRNA from 1 species
UACGUAGGGGGCAAGCGUUGUCCGGAUUUAUUGGGCGUAAAGAGCGUGUAGGCGGCCUGACAGGUCUGCUGUGAAAACUCGAGGCUCAACCUCGAGAUGUCGGCGGAAACCGUCUGGCUAGAGUCCGGAAGAGGAGAGUGGAAUUCCUGGUGUAGCGGUGAAAUGCGUAGAUAUCAGGAGGAACACCGGCGGCGAAGGCGGCCCUCUGGAUCGUUGCUGACGCUGAUACGCGAAAGCGUGGGGAGCAAACAGG